AGGACUUUAGUAUAACUAUUACGUCACUCUGUCAGAGUCAAAAUACAGACACCUGUAAGUCCUA
rnacentral:tRNA from 1 species